rnacentral:rRNA from 1 species
AGACCCGAAACCCGGUGAUCUAGCCAUGGGCAGGUUGAAGGUUGGGUAACACUAACUGGAGGACCGAACCGACUAAUGUUGAAAAAUUAGCGGAUGACCUGUGGCUGGGGGUGAAAGGCCAAUCAAACCGGGAGAUAGCUGGUUCUCCCCGAAAGCUAUUUAGGUAGCGCCUCGUGAAUUCAUCUCCGGGGGUAGAGCACUGUUUCGGCUAGGGGGCCAUCCCGGCUUACCAACCCGAUGCAAACUGCGAAUACCGGAGAAUGUUAUCACGGGAGACACACGGCGGGUGCUAACGUCCGUCGUGAAGAGGGAAACAACCCAGACCGCCAGCUAAGGUCCCAAAGUCAUGGUUAAGUGGGAAACGAUGUGGGAAGGCCCAGACAGCCAGGAUGUUGGCUUAGAAGCAGCCAUCAUUUAAAGAAAGCGUAAUAGCUCACUGGUCGAGUCGGCCUGCGCGGAAGAUGUAACGGGGCUAAACCAUGCACCGAAGCUGCGGCAGCGACACUGUGUGUUGUUGGGUAGGGGAGCGUUCUGUAAGCCUGCGAAGGUGGCCUGUGAGGGUUGCUGGAGGUAUCAGAAGUGCGAAUGCUGACAUAAGUAACGAUAAAGCGGGUGAAAAGCCCGCUCGCCGGAAGACCAAGGGUUCCUGUCCAACGUUAAUCGGGGCAGGGUGAGUCGACCCCUAAGGCGAGGCCGAAAGGCGUAGUCGAUGGGAAACGGGUUAAUAUUCCCGUACUUGGUGUUACUGCGAAGGGGGGACGGAGAAGGCUAUGUUGGCCGGGCGACGGUUGUCCCGGUUUAAGCGUGUAGGCUGGUUUUCCAGGCAAAUCCGGAAAAUCAAGGCUGAGGCGUGACGACGAGGCACUACGGUGCUGAAGCAACAAAUGCCCUGCUUCCAGGAAAAGCCUCUAAGCAUCAGGUAACAUCAAAUCGUACCCCAAACCGACACAGGUGGUCAGGUAGAGAAUACCAAGGCGCUUGAGAGAACUCGGGUGAAGGAACUAGGCAAAAUGGUGCCGUAACUUCGGGAGAAGGCACGCUGACAUGUAGGUGAAGUGAUUUACUCAUGGAGCUGAAGUCAGUCGAAGAUACCAGCUGGCUGCAACUGUUUAUUAAAAACACAGCACUGUGCAAACACGAAAGUGGACGUAUACGGUGUGACGCCUGCCCGGUGCCGGAAGGUUAAUUGAUGGGGUCAGCGCAAGCGAAGCUCCUGAUCGAAGCCCCGGUAAACGGCGGCCGUAACUAUAACGGUCCUAAGGUAGCGAAAUUCCUUGUCGGGUAAGUUCCGACCUGCACGAAUGGCGUAAUGAUGGCCAGGCUGUCUCCACCCGAGACUCAGUGAAAUUGAACUCGCUGUGAAGAUGCAGUGUACCCGCGGCAAGACGGAAAGACCCCGUGAACCUUUACUAUAGCUUGACACUGAACAUUGAGCCUUGAUGUGUAG